AGAGUUUGAUCCUGGCUCAGGACGAACGCUGGCGGCGUGCCUAAUACAUGCAAGUAGAACGCUGAAGAGAGGAGCUUGCUCUUCUUGGAUGAGUUGCGAACGGGUGAGUAACGCGUAGGUAACCUGCCUUGUAGCGGGGGAUAACUAUUGGAAACGAUAGCUAAUACCGCAUAACAAUGGAUGACCCAUGUCAUUUAUUUGAAAGGGGCAAAUGCUCCACUACAAGAUGGACCUGCGUUGUAUUAGCUAGUAGGUGAGGUAACGGCUCACCUAGGCGACGAUACAUAGCCGACCUGAGAGGGUGAUCGGCCACACUGGGACUGAGACACGGCCCAGACUCCUACGGGAGGCAGCAGUAGGGAAUCUUCGGCAAUGGGGGCAACCCUGACCGAGCAACGCCGCGUGAGUGAAGAAGGUUUUCGGAUCGUAAAGCUCUGUUGUAAGUCAAGAACGAGUGUGAGAGUGGAAAGUUCACACUGUGACGGUAGCUUACCAGAAAGGGACGGCUAACUACGUGCCAGCAGCCGCGGUAAUACGUAGGUCCCGAGCGUUGUCCGGAUUUAUUGGGCGUAAAGCGAGCGCAGGCGGUUUGAUAAGUCUGAAGUUAAAGGCUGUGGCUCAACCAUAGUUCGCUUUGGAAACUGUCAAACUUGAGUGCAGAAGGGGAGAGUGGAAUUCCAUGUGUAGCGGUGAAAUGCGUAGAUAUAUGGAGGAACACCGGUGGCGAAAGCGGCUCUCUGGUCUGUAACUGACGCUGAGGCUCGAAAGCGUGGGGAGCGAACAGGAUUAGAUACCCUGGUAGUCCACGCCGUAAACGAUGAGUGCUAGGUGUUGGAUCCUUUCCGGGAUUCAGUGCCGCAGCUAACGCAUUAAGCACUCCGCCUGGGGAGUACGACCGCAAGGUUGAAACUCAAAGGAAUUGACGGGGGCCCGCACAAGCAGUGGAGUAUGUGGUUUAAUUCGACGCAACGCGAAGAACCUUACCAAGUCUUGACAUCCUGCGACGGUGCUGGAAACAGUACUUUCCUUCGGGACGCAGAGACAGGUGGUGCAUGGUUGUCGUCAGCUCGUGUCGUGAGAUGUUGGGUUAAGU
rnacentral:rRNA from 1 species